CGCGUAGGCGGUUAUGCUAGUCAGGUGUGAAAUCCCCAGGCUUAACUUGGGAACUGCGCUUGAAACUGCAUAGCUUGAGGCCGGGGAGAGGAAAGUGGAAUUCCUGGUGUAGCGGUGAAAUGCGUAGAUAUCAGGAGGAACACCGGUGGCGAAGGCGGCUUUCUGGACCGGUUCUGACGCUGAAGCGCGAAAGCGUGGGGAGCAAACG
rnacentral:rRNA from 1 species